rnacentral:rRNA from 1 species
UACAGAGGGUGCGAGCGUUAAUCGGAAUUACUGGGCGUAAAGCGCACGUAGGUGGCUAUGUAAGUCGGGUGUGAAAUCCCCGGGCUCAACCUGGGAACUGCAUUCGAGACUGCAUGGCUGGAGUACGGAAGAGGAAGGCGGAAUUCCCGGUGUAGCGGUGAAAUGCGUAGAUAUCGGGAGGAACAUCAGUGGCGAAGGCGGCCUUCUGGUCCAGUACUGACACUCAAGUGCGAAAGCGUGGGGAGCAAACAGG